rnacentral:rRNA from 1 species
ACUAUCGUUAACUGAAUACAUAGGUUAACGAGGCGAACCGGGGGAACUGAAACAUCUAAGUACCCCGAGGAAAAGAAAUCAACCGAGAUUCCCCCAGUAGCGGCGAGCGAACGGGGAGCAGCCCAGAGUCUGAAUCAGCUUGUGUGUUAGUGGAACGGUCUGGAAAGUCCGACGGUACAGGGUGAUAGUCCCGUACACCAAAAUGCACAGGUUGUGAACUCGAAGAGUAGGGCGGGACACGUGGUAUCCUGUCUGAAUAUGGGGGGACCAUCCUCCAAGGCUAAAUACUCCUGACUGACCGAUAGUGAACCAGUACCGUGAGGGAAAGGCGAAAAGAACCCCGGCGAGGGGAGUGAAAAAGAACCUGAAACCGUGUACGUACAAGCAGUGGGAGCACCUUCGGGUGUGACUGCGUACCUUUUGUAUAAUGGGUCAGCGACUUAUAUUCUGUAGCAAGGUUAACCGUAUAGGGGAGCCGCAGGGAAACCGAGUCUUAACUGGGCGUUAAGUUGCAGGGUAUAGACCCGAAACCCGGUGAUCUAGCCAUGGGCAGGUUGAAGGUUGGGUAACACUAACUGGAGGACCGAACCGACUAAUGUUGAAAAAUUAGCGGAUGACUUGUGGCUGGGGGUGAAAGGCCAAUCAAACCGGGAGAUAGCUGGUUCUCCCCGAAAGCUAUUUAGGUAGCGCCUCGUGAAUUCAUCUUCGGGGGUAGAGCACUGUUUCGGCUAGGGGGUCAUCCCGACUUACCAACCCGAUGCAAACUACGAAUACCGAAGAAUGUUAUCACGGGAGACACACGGCGGGUGCUAACGUCCGUCGUGAAGAGGGAAACAACCCAGACCGCCAGCUAAGGUCCCAAAGUCAUGGUUAAGUGGGAAACGAUGUGGGAAGGCACAGACAGCCAGGAUGUUGGCUUAGAAGCAGCCAUCAUUUAAAGAAAGCGUAAUAGCUCACUGGUCGAGUCGGCCUGCGCGGAAGAUGUAACGGGGCUAAACCAUGCACCGAAGCUGCGGCAGCGACACUAUGUGUUGUUGGGUAGGGGAGCGUUCUGUAAGCCUGCGAAGGUGUGCUGUGAGGCAUGCUGGAGGUAUCAGAAGUGCGAAUGCUGACAUAAGUAACGAUAAAGCGGGUGAAAAGCCCGCUCGCCGGAAGACCAAGGGUUCCUGUCCAACGUUAAUCGGGGCAGGGUGAGUCGACCCCUAAGGCGAGGCCGAAAGGCGUAGUCGAUGGGAAACAGGUUAAUAUUCCUGUACUUGGUGUUACUGCGAAGGGGGGACGGAGAAGGCUAUGUUAGCCGGGCGACGGUUGUCCCGGUUUAAGCAUGUAGGCUGGUUAUCCAGGCAAAUCCGGAUAAUCAAGGCUGAGGUGUGAUGACGAGGCACUACGGUGCUGAAGUAACAAAUGCCCUGCUUCCAGGAAAAGCCUCUAAGCAUCAGGUAACAUUAAAUCGUACCCCAAACCGACACAGGUGGUCAGGUAGAGAAUACCAAGGCGCUUGAGAGAACUCGGGUGAAGGAACUAGGCAAAAUGGUGCCGUAACUUCGGGAGAAGGCACGCUGGUGUGUAGGUGAAGUCCCUGCGGAUGGAGCUGAGACCAGUCGAAGAUACCAGCUGGCUGCAACUGUUUAUUAAAAACACAGCACUGUGCAAACACGAAAGUGGACGUAUACGGUGUGACGCCUGCCCGGUGCCGGAAGGUUAAUUGAUGGGGUUAUCCGUAAGGAGAAGCUCUUGAUCGAAGCCCCGGUAAACGGCGGCCGUAACUAUAACGGUCCUAAGGUAGCGAAAUUCCUUGUCGGGUAAGUUCCGACCUGCACGAAUGGCGUAAUGAUGGCCAGGCUGUCUCCACCCGAGACUCAGUGAAAUUGAACUCGCUGUGAAGAUGCAGUGUACCCGCGGCAAGACGGAAAGACCCCGUGAACCUUUACUAUAGCUUGACACUGAACAUUGAGCCUUGAUGUGUAGGAUAGGUGGGAGGCUUUGAAGCGUGGACGCCAGUCUGCGUGGAGCCAACCUUGAAAUACCACCCUUUAAUGUUUGAUGUUCUAACGUUGGCCCCUGACCGGGGUUGCGGACAGUGUCUGGUGGGUAGUUUGACUGGGGCGGUCUCCUCCCAAAGCGUAACGGAGGAGCACGAAGGUUAGCUAAUCCUGGUCGGACAUCAGGAGGUUAGUGCAAUGGCAUAAGCUAGCUUGACUGCGAGCGUGACGGCGCGAGCAGGUGCGAAAGCAGGUCAUAGUGAUCCGGUGGUUCUGAAUGGAAGGGCCAUCGCUCAACGGAUAAAAGGUACUCCGGGGAUAACAGGCUGAUACCGCCCAAGAGUUCAUAUCGACGGCGGUGUUUGGCACCUCGAUGUCGGCUCAUCACAUCCUGGGGCUGAAGUAGGUCCCAAGGGUAUGGCUGUUCGCCAUUUAAAGUGGUACGCGAGCUGGGUUUAGAACGUCGUGAGACAGUUCGGUCCCUAUCUGCCGUGGGCGCUGGAGAAUUGAGGGGGGCUGCUCCUAGUACGAGAGGACCGGAGUGGACGCAUCACUGGUGUUCGGGUUGUCAUGCCAAUGGCACUGCCCGGUAGCUAAAUGCGGAAGAGAUAAGUGCUGAAAGCAUCUAAGCACGAAACUUGCCCCGAGAUGAGUUCU